rnacentral:rRNA from 1 species
AUUGAACGCUGGCGGAAUGCUUUACACAUGCAAGUCGAACGGCAGCACGGACUUCGGUCUGGUGGCGAGUGGCGAACGGGUGAGUAAUGUAUCGGAACGUGCCCAGUCGUGGGGGAUAACGUAGUGAAAAUUACGCUAAUACCGCAUACGAUCUAUGGAUGAAAGCGGGGGAUCGCAAGACCUCGCGCGAUUGGAGCGGCCGAUAUCAGAUUAGGCAGUUGGUGGGGUAAAGGCCCACCAAGCCAACGAUCUGUAGCUGGUCUGAGAGGACGACCAGCCACACUGGAACUGAGACACGGUCCAGGCUCCUACGGGAGGCAGCCGUGGGGAAAUUUGGACAAUGGGCGAAAGCCAGAUCCAGACAUUCCGCGUGCAGGAUGAAGGCCCUCGGGUUGUAAACUGCUUUGGUACAGAACGAAAAGGUUUCUACUAAUACUAGGAGCUCAUGACGGUACUGUAAGAAUAAGCACCGGCUAACUACGUGCCAGCAGCCGCCGUAA